rnacentral:lncRNA from 1 species
AAAAAAUAACGUGUCAAUAUAAAACCAAUAAUAGUUAAACCGGAAUAAACCGGGCCAAGGUAUAGGGAGAAUAUUCCUAAAGUGUAAUCUACUAGCUUCUGACGAAAGUUCUAGUCCAUCUACAAGGCCAGGGACCUCGUGCGUAUAAAUGUAGUCAGAUAGUGACGUAAUGCUUUGAGUUUAUCACCGUAUUUAAAAAAUAUUUUUUGAAAGGAAAUAAAUUAAACGCAAAGUCACUUUUUUGAAAACGCGUGAGAGUAAUUUAAUCAAUUUAUUAAUUUUAUAUGAAAAUAGAGAUAUAAAUAUGCACGUCUAUGUAUAUCUAUGCAAGUGUACUUUGACAGGGUACGGAGAUUCGGCUGUGGAACCAACUUGCCCAAAUUUGAUAAUCAGGGCCCCAUUAAAAAUUAAUUGUUUUAAGUUAUGGAACAAUUAAACUCAAGAUAUGGUAUGAUAUAUUUUUCUUUUUGUCUUUUCUAAUACGAUUUUAAAAAUGUUUAUUCGGGAAUAUAAAAGAAAAAAACAGCGGAUUUCUAAAAUGAAACAAAAAAAAAAUCAAUAAAGACACAUGAGGAUUGCUUACGUGAGAUGUUGGUAACGAUUUGGCAGCUUCAAUGGUUCGAAGGAAAUGGUGCAUGUUAUCAUCGCAAGAGGCAGCAUCAUCGGCGUGUUCAACGCCGUACACAAGCAUACCUUUAAGACCCGUAGCCUCGUAAACACUUCUUACGCGCUGCGCGGCUGCGUCAGCGUCUUCACCGGCGCAGAAAUGGUCAUAAAACGUACUUUUCACAAGUCCAAGGACCAUGUCACGUGUUAACGCGGUUUCCAUGAGUUUAGAACUCAUGACCCACGAUCCAAGAUCCACCAUAGGACCUAUCGCCGCCGCAUGCAGCACGGCGGUGGAGCGGAGAAGAUCGGAGGUGGGGACAGAGGCAAAGAGACGGGCUUGGUCGGACAGAUCGAUGUCAUUGUGAGCUUCGUUUGGUUUUGGGUGGGGGACAGGUGGCUCUGGCGCUUGUUGUCCGAAGGAGAGUAUCUCCGGGACGACUGCGGUUGAAGCUGUCACGGUGGGCUGACCCACCGGGCUCAAAGCGGAGAAACGGUAAGGACGACGGAUAAAGUUUGUUCGGAGGAGACGGGCUGCCAUAAAAUUCAAAGAUGUUCUUGAUAAAACGAAAAAUAAAAUUGUUUUUCUUCUCCUCUAAUGUUUCUUAGGCUUCUCGCUUUUAUCGCUUUUCUUUUCUUCUCUCAACGCUUUGUUGUGUGAUUGAUGUCUCCUCCUCUGUUACUGCCACACAUAUUUAUAGAAGAGUAUAAAACUAUAUGCAUAUAUACACGUUUUACGUGUUCCAUAUAAUAGGAUUGUGAUAAAAUUAAAUCAUCUAAAAUUACAACGGAAUCUUUAUAAAGAAAGUCAAAUUCUUAAAUUUAACUCAACAAUAUAUGUUACCAUAAUAAUUACGGACGACAGAGACAGCCAGGCACUGACUAUAAGAUGAGUCAUUGGAUAAGUAUUAAAUUGAUAUUAUAUGAUGACUUUAUUGUUUUUAAAAUUGAAAUAGGAAAUUUCUAGAGAGACGGUGGAGGAAGAUAUGAAGGAUGAGUGGAUGGUGACUCGGAUACAACGCGAGGACCUGGACUUGUUCUUUGAAUCUUUGACUUUUCUAUAUUGGAAUCUCCGGAAUCUUAGUGUUAACUAAUUUGAAUUAAUCAGUAAAUAUUCUCUCCUAAUAAAAGUAAGUAGUUAAAAAUAGAUUUGAAGUUAAAAAAUUUACUUUAGACCAUCUCCAAUGUAUUUUUCUAUUUUUUCCUCUAAAAUAGAAGAACUCUAUAAUAGAGAUAGAUUUGUCUCCAAUGUAUUCUUCUAUUUCUUCUUCUAAAAAGGAAUAUUCUUGAUAUAUUAUUUUCUAAUUUUACAAAUAGUAUUUUUUAUUUGUGAAAGUUAAAAACCAACCCAAUUUAGUUUAACAUUCAUAAAAUUAUGAUAUUAUUUACACUGAAUAUUUUUAUAGAAACUAUUAUGUAAAUAAAAAGUAUGAUUAUAUGUUUAUAUAAACAGUACAUUUUCACUAAAAAAUAUUUAUUUUGGUUAUAAUUGUUAAAAUAAAAAGUUAUUGGAUCAUUUUGUGAAUAAAAAAAGUAUGCUUCUAUUAUAGAGGAAUGCUAUUUCUUCUUCUAAAUAUAGAGGUGAAAAUAGCAAUCUCUAUUUUAGAGGAAUAUAUAGAGUAAGGUUUGAGUGAUUUUACCUCUAAAUGCUAUUAUAGAAGCAAAUAUAGAGGUGGGUUGGAGAUGCUCUUAGCACAACCUCGAUUUUGAUUCACCCAUUAUUUUCUUUUUAUGCACUAACUAAAUUGUAAAAUACUAGUACUAGUUUAUUAAAAAAUGUAGAAUAUACUAUUUUAUUUGUUAACAGCUAAUUCGUUUAUGCAUGUGGUUUUUAAAAUAUCAGAUUUAUCUACCCUACAAAUUUCAGCAAAUACAUUUUUUUCCUUUUGUUACAUGAUAUUCUGUCUAAUAUCAUGUUAUUUGUCUGAAUCUUGAAAAACAUACAUCUUUAUUUACAGUUUUUUCUAGUCUUGCCCAUAAUUUUCGGUCUCUCACCAAGAAGCUUUUAUAAUAGCGCUUGUGAGAAUUUUUUAUUAUAGUUGAUCUUCCACUGUUAAUUAAAUUAACUCGUUAUUACUUUAUUCUUCCAACCCAAACCACUUGACGCAAAAGUGAAGACGAAGAACCAACCAAAGCUAAUAAGAUACAAAUAUACAACCGUACCUUUUCAAAAAGUUUCAAUACAGAGAAUCUUUGACAGAAGCAGAUCUUUACAAAAACAUAAAAGCAAUGAAAACCAAGUGAGCGGGACCCAUCCGUCCCCCAAAAAUGGCAGUGCUACCAAGUUUUGGCAAAAUGAUAAAACAAAAAAAAAAGUAGUUUAUUGAGGAAUUUGAGCCGUUAGAUUUUGAGAGGCGAGAAGGUGAGAGGGUCACGUGAGGAAGUAAAGAGGUUAGGUGAGCAUUGGACACGAAAGUCGCCAGCUGUAGCCGCCAUUUUCAUUGGUCCAUCCCAACCUUUCAUGCAAUAUUCACUUUAUAUUUCAAAAACAGUAACUUUUUGAUAAAGAAGUUAUUUCAAAACAAUAACGCAAAAUGAAAUGAAGCUCAUUUGUAUUUUCUUUUGUAUGCUGAAAUGUGUCUUUUGUUUUUUUGGUAAAAAUGUGUCUUUUGUUGAUCCUGUAAAUAUGAGACUUUGAGGGUCCUGCUUUUAAAAUCUAGUUUGACGUGUAAAUCAGACUGCAUUAUUGGUUUCUUGGGUUACUUUUGCUGGUAAUAAGUACUCAAGUAAACUGUUCAAUCCCAUCUUCAUCAAAUCAAAUAAUUGAUACAGAAACCGACCCAAUUUGUCAAUAUGACCAAAAUUGAGUUUAUAUAUCUAAAUAAACAAAUCUCAACUAGAGCUUGAUUCGCGAAUAUUUUAUUUUAUUUUUAUAGACAAAUAUAUUUUGUAUAAAUGGUAAUAUGAAUUUUAAAAUUUAUCCGCAUUAAAAAAUUGUUAAACAUGACAUUUCUAAAUACAAUAAUAUAUAGUUUAUAUUGGAAAUUCUUUUUUUUUAAACCGUCAAUUAUAUCAUCUACAUUCUUAGAAUUUGACCUAUGCAUCCACACAAAUAUAUUUCUAUUUUUUACAAAUCAAAAUUUAAUGUAUGAUAAAAUUGGUAUAUAUAACUAUUAAAAUUUGUUGAUAUAUAUUUUAUAAUCUUCUACAUUUAUCAUAUUAAAUUUAUAUUGGGUUUUUAUUUACAUGAAAUAUAUGUAAAUUAUAUAUUUACAUAUUAAUUUAUAUAUUAUUUAUAUAUUAUAUAAAUAACUUCUUACAUGGCUUUAAGUUUUUAGUUAUUAUUAAUAAAUAGUAAGAAAUAUAACUAAUCUUUAAAAUAAAUUUUGUUUAAAUUUAGUAAAUGAAUAGUUAAAUCGAUUUAGAUGGCUUUGUGGUUGUUUUUAUCAUUUUUAUUAAUAAUAUAGCUUUAGCAUAUCUAAAACGAUUUUUUCUCAUGGUUUAUUUUUUAGCUAAAUAAAUAUAGCUUUAGUUGUUUUUAUCAUAAUUAUUAAAUAGUUAUUUUAAAUUUUUGUUUUAACAUUAACUAUUUUGAAGAUCAAUUUAAGAAUUUUUUAUGGUUCUUUUAACUAAUAAUAAGACAAUAAAUGCUAAAAGUUAAGUUUAGGGAGUUUCUUAAUUGCAUUAGAAUAUAAUUAAGUAAUUACUUUAAUAAUAUAGAUAUGAACUAAACAGUUCCAAAAUUAUGAUUCAUAUAAAAAUACUUUUUAGUCUUGUUUGAUCUUUAAAAUAGAAAAUAAAACCUUUUUGUAUCAAAAGAAAAUUAAACUUUUCAAAAUGAGAUAAAAGGCAAACAACCGCCAUGCUACAUUACAAUUUAAAGGGGUAAAUUUGAUAAUUUAUUUGUUCGGACCAGUAGAAUAACUCAUGUGUGUAAAAGAAAUCUGAAAUAUUGAACCGAACCAAAUCAACUAAACCAAACUGAACUAAAAUUUCAGUUAAUUCGGUGAGAAUUUCGGUUUGAUUCGACAGAAUUAUAAAAAAUAAAAUUUGGUUUUCGAUCCGGAAACAAGUUAGUUCGAUGUAUUUUAAAAAAAUUAACCAAAUUUCAAACCGAACUAAUAGAAUCAACCAAAAUUUUGAAUUGAAAUAAUCAAACUAACCAAAAUUAUCUGAAUUCAACAGAAUUUUUAACAGAAUUUUAACCAAAAUUUUGGUUAUUUCCAGUAAAAUUGUUUAAAAUUAAGUUACCCAAAUAUCAAUCCAAAAUUUUUCUGGUUCAAUUUGGCGAUAUUUUGCUCAAACCAAACUAUCUGAAUUUUAACUAUCACUACAAAAAAACACGGGCCUAACGACUACAAAAUCAGUUGUUAAGUUGUCGUAAUACAUUGAUUACGACAAACUAACUACGACUACGAAAUGGUUGUUAGCGACUCGUCGUAAUUGACGAUUCGUCGUAAAGGAGACAUAAUCCUCACGACUGACACAUGACGUCGUAAUAUAGACGUAAAACAAUUCAUCGUAAAGGAGACGUAACUUUAUGUCCUUUACAGAAGUCGUUUAUUGGACGUAACACUUUGAUAAUUAUGUCGUCGUAAAUAUUACGACGAAUAAACAUCGACAACUGUUGUUAAAAGGUCGCAAUAUUUACGACUAUAUUACAUCGCAUUUCGAUGUUAAUUGGUCAUAUUUUUUACGACCAGAUUACGUCGUAUAUUAUAUAAUAUAAUAUAAAAUAUAUGUAUUUGUAAUAUCAAUAAUUUAAAAUAUUAAAAAAUUGAGAUAAAAUUUCAAAAUAUUUUUAAAUUUGGAAAAUUCAUACACAAAAUAUAAUAUAUCAUAAAACAUCCAAAAUGUUAUAAUAUCGAAAAUAGAAAACAUUAAUACAUAACCGAAAGAAAAUCUAAUUAUCAAGGUUGAUGUCGUCAAAGAUCUCGGCACUGUGGUGAAUGGACCGUUGCUCCAAUUCCGCCUGCUCUUCUGGAGUGGGAUUGGGAUUAAUGGUUGGACGUACAUUUUGCCACAUCGCUGCAAGAGCUGGGUUUGUGUCUGCAAGAACAUCGAACAUCCCCGCGAUGGACCUAAGGCGGGUUCUGCUGGCCUGGUUGUCUGCCCGGAGCUCUGAAAUGACUUGGUUGGCAGCUGUCAAAUCUGUCUGGAGCUGCGAAUCGUCAUGCAUUCUCGCCACAUAUUCAGCUCUUGCCCUCGGGACAUCGUUAACCGUACCGAUCCCGACCAUCCGUCCCCUUUUCUUCGGGACAAUCUUAAAUUAAUGAAAUGAAUAUUAGUACAUAUAUAAAACUAAAAAAAUAAAAUGUGUAUAAAAUAUAUUAAAAAGAUUGAAAAUUAUUCCUGUUCAAAUUUUUUUGUCUUGUUCGACGGUAGACAACUGAACCGGUUCAGCUUCGGGAUUUUGUUGGGACAGUUGUGUCUGGACCUCCUGUAUCCGAGUCUCGACAUCUUUGUAGAUCCUUUCCACCUCAGGAUGCACAAACGUCCCAUCAGAAUGCUGGUGUGUCGUCUUAUAAAGCAGGGACAGAGAUGGUGGUGCUACUUCUUGAGCCGCCUACAAAAAAAAUUAAAUUAAUUAAUUUCAUGNNNNNNNNNNNNNNNNNNNNNNNNNNNNNNNNNNNNNNNNNNNNNNNNNNNNNNNNNNNNNNNNNNNNNNNNNNNAUCAAUAAAGACACAUGAGGAUUGCUUACGUGAGAUGUUGGUAACGAUUUGGCAGCUUCAAUGGUUCGAAGGAAAUGGUGCAUGUUAUCAUCGCAAGAGGCAGCAUCAUCGGCGUGUUCAACGCCGUACACAAGCAUACCUUUAAGACCCGUAGCCUCGUAAACACUUCUUACGCGCUGCGCGGCUGCGUCAGCGUCUUCACCGGCGCAGAAAUGGUCAUAAAACGUACUUUUCACAAGUCCAAGGACCAUGUCACGUGUUAACGCGGUUUCCAUGAGUUUAGAACUCAUGACCCACGAUCCAAGAUCCACCAUAGGACCUAUCGCCGCCGCAUGCAGCGCGGCGGUGGAGCGGAGAAGAUCGGAGGUGGGGACAGAGGCAAAGAGACGGGCUUGGUCGGACAGAUCGAUGUCAUUGUGAGCUUCGUUUGGUUUUGGGUGGGGGACAGGUGGCUCUGGCGCUUGUUGUCCGAAGGAGAGUAUCUCCGGGACGACUGCGGUUGAAGCUGUCACGGUGGGCUGACCCACCGGGCUCAAAGCGGAGAAACGGUAAGGACGACGGAUAAAGUUUGUUCGGAGGAGGCGGGCUGCCAUAAAAUUCAAAGAUGUUCUUGAUAAAACGAAAAAUAAAAUUGUUUUUCUUGUCUUUUGAUGUUUCUUAGGCUUCUCGCUUUUAUCGCUUUUCUUUUCUUCUCUCAACGCUUUGUUGUGUGAUUGAUGUCUCCUCCUUUGUUACUGCCACACAUAUUUAUAGAAGAGUAUAAAACUAUAUGCAUAUACAUACACGUUUUACGUGUUCGAUAUAAUAGGAUUGUGAUAAAAUUAAAUCAUCUAAAAUUACAACGGAAUCUUUAUAAAGAAAGUCAAAUUCUUAAAUUUAACUCAACAAUAUAUGUUACCAUAAUAAUUACGGACGACAGAGACAGCCAGGCACUG